GACGAACGCUGGCGGCGUGCUUAACACAUGCAAGUCGAACGGAAAGGCCCUGCUUUUUUGGUGUUCUCGAGUGGCGAACGGGUGAGUAACACGUGUGUAACCUGCUCUUGACUUUGGUAUAACUUCACGUAACUGGGCUUACUAUCGUAUAGCAUCUCCUCUUCCAUGGUGGGGGUUGGAACUUUUCGGCUGUUGGGGAUGGACUCGCGGCUUAUCAGUUUGUUGGUGGGGUAGUGGAUUGCCAAGGCUUUGACCGGUAGCCGACAUGGGAGGGUGACCGGCGACCAUGGGACUGAGGUACGGCCCAGAGUGCUACGGGAGGCAAAGGUGGGAAAUAUUGCACAAUGGGAGGAAGUGUGAUGAAGAAGCGCCGCGGGUGGGAAGACGUCCUUCGGGUAGAAAAAAGCAUCAGCCUAAGACGAAGCGUGAGUGACGGUAAUGAGUAAAGAAGCACCGGCUAACUACGUG
rnacentral:rRNA from 1 species